GUGCUCACUUCAGCAGCAUAUAAACUCAAACUGGAAAUCUAGAGAAGACUAGCAUAGCUCCUACACAAAGACAACAUACAAAUGCAUGAAGUUUUCUACAUUUCC
ensembl:snRNA U6 U6 spliceosomal RNA